rnacentral:rRNA from 1 species
CACAUGCAAGUCGAACGCGAAAGCCUGGGCAACUGGGCGAGUAGAGUGGCGCACGGGUGAGUAACACGUGGGUAACCUACCCUCGAGUGGGGAAUAACUCCUCGAAAGGGGAGCUAAUACCGCAUAAGACCACGAUCUCUUCGGAGGUUGCGAUCAAAGGUGGCCUCAUCAAGCAGAGCGUUCGGGAGCCCUCUUCCAAUGGGGAGGAGGCUCCCCAGCGCUUUGUCAGUGAAGCUGCCGCUCGAUGAGGGGCCCGCGUCCCAUCAGCUAGUUGGUAGGGUAACGGCCUACCAAGGCGACGACGGGUAGCUGGUCUAAGAGGACGACCAGCCACACGGGAAUUGAGAUACGGUCCCGACUCCUACGGGAGGCAGCAGUGGGGAAUCUUGGGCAAUGGGGGAAACCCUGACCCAGCGACGCCGCGUGGGGGAUGAAGGCCUUCGGGUUGUAAACCCCUGUUAGGUGGGACGAACAUCUCCUCACGAAUAGUGGAGAGAUCUGACGGUACCUCCAGAGAAAGCCCCGGCUAACUCCGUGCCAGCAGCCGCGGUAAUACGGAGGGGGCUAGUGUUGUUCGGAAUCAUUGGGCGUAAAGCGCGCGUAGGCGGCCAGAUAAGUCCGGUGUGAAAGUCCCAGGCUCAACCUGGGAAUGCCGCCGGAAACUGUCUGGCUAGAGUCCGGAAGGGGCCAGUGGAAUUCCCGGUGUAGCGGUGAAAUGCGCAGAUAUCGGGAGGAACACCAAUGGCGAAGGCAGCUGGCUGGGACGGUACUGACGCUGAGGCGCGAAAGCGUGGGGAGCGAACAGGAUUAGAUACCCUGGUAGUCCACGCUGUAAACGAUGGGCACUAGGUGUGGGAGGUGUCGACUCCUCCCGUGCCGCAGCUAACGCAUUAAGUGCCCCGCCUGGGGAGUACGGCCGCAAGGCUAAAACUCAAAGGAAUUGACGGGGACCCGCACAAGCAGCGGAGCAUGUGGUUCAAUUCGACGCAACGCGAAGAACCUUACCUGGGCUUGACAUGUAGGUGACAGCCGUGGAAACACGGUCUCCCUUCGGGGCACCUUCACAGGUGGUGCAUGGCUGUCGUCAGCUCGUGCCGUGAGGUGUUGGGUUAAGUCCCGCAACGAGCGCAACCCCUGCCCCAUGUUGCCAGCGGGUAAUGCCGGGGACUCAUGGGGGACUGCCGGUGACAAACCGGAGGAAGGUGGGGAUGACGUCAAGUCAUCAUGCCCCUUAUGCCCAGGGCUACACACGUGCUACAUUGGCCGCUACAGAGGGUUGCGAUACCGCGAGGUGGAGCGAAUCCCAAAAAGGCGGUCUCGGUUCGGAUUGGAGGCUGAAACUCGCCUCCAUGAAGGUGGAGUUGCUAGUAAUCGCGGAUCAGCAACGCCGCGGUGAUACGUUCCCGGGUCUUGUACAACACC